CAUCGCCGCCAGAGGGCGGCAGCAGCCCCGAUAACCCUGACAGAGCCGCGGUGAAGAAGUCCGCGCUUACACAAGGACGGCACGGUUAGGUAACGCGUGUAGCGUAGAAACCUUUUAUGAUAUGUCACCUCUCUCGUGAGCUUCGGCUUUGAGCUUUCAGCACGCUUUUCCAGUCAGACUCGGCGUGAAGUUAUGGCUCACGUGUCGGCGGUGCGGGCUCUGUAUAAGAGGAUCCUGCUGCUGCACCGCUUCAUGCCCGUGGACCUGCGGGCUCUGGGGGAUCAGUACGUGAAGGACGAGUUCAGAAGACACAAGACCGCCACAGACGAAGAGGCGACGCGCUUCUUGACGGAGUGGCAGGUAAACAGAGACUCGCCCGCUCCUGUCAGACCGUCCCUUGACCGCAGGCCUCGGCCUCUACACCAGCGACAGAGACACAUAAAGAGCUGUGUCCUCCUGAAACACAAGUUUGAUCGUAAGCAGUCAUGACAGACGUGACGGACAAGUUUCAAUUAAGAUGUCAGAAAACCCAAGCUCGUGUGAUAGAAUCUGCGGUACGCUGUAAAUAUGAACUACAAAGACACUCUACAGACGCAAGUGCUGGAAGCGGUGGGAAACAAGAAAUUGGAGUUUGGCUCUGAUUUAUCGGAAGAGAAACUCAAAGACUUUCAAGAUGAACAGAUCGGACAGCUUUAUGAGCUUAUGCUUGAGUCCACAAAACCCAACCGACAGUUUGAUAUUCAAGAAGAGGGAACGCCAAAGUAACACA